GACGAACGCUGGCGGCGUGCCUAAUACAUGCAAGUCGAACGCUUCUUUCCUCCCGAGCGCUUGCACUCAAUUGGAAAGAGGAGUGGCGGACGGGUGAGUAACACGCGGGUAACCUACCCAUCAGAGGGGGAUAACACUUGGAAACAGGUGCUAAUACCGCAUAACAGUUUAUGCCGCAUGGCAUAAGAGUGAAAGGCGCUUUCGGGUGUCGCUGAUGGAUGGACCCGCGGUGCAUUAGCUAGUUGGUGAGGUAACGGCUCACCAAGGCCACGAUGCAUAGCCGACCUGAGAGGGUGAUCGGCCACACUGGGACUGAGACACGGCCCAGACUCCUACGGGAGGCAGCAGUAGGGAAUCUUCGGCAAUGGACGAAAGUCUGACCGAGCAACGCCGCGUGAGUGAAGAAGGUUUUCGGAUCGUAAAACUCUGUUGUUAGAGAAGAACAAGGACGUUAGUAACUGAACGUCCCCUGACGGUAUCUAACCAGAAAGCCACGGCUAACUACGUG
rnacentral:rRNA from 1 species